rnacentral:tRNA from 2 species
GAAGGCAUGGCGCAGUGGUAGCGUAUCUGAUUCCAGUCCAGAUGGUCCUGGGUUCAAAUCCCAGUGUCUUCC